GCAGACGCCAAUUGUGCCAACCUUACCAGCACAAAAACCCAAUGCUUCCUCUUUCGUUCGAAGUGUGUCAAGCAGUUUAGGCGUAGUUUCGUCGUUGUGCUGCUGUUUUCACAAUGAGAGCUAAGUGGCGCAAGAAGCGUAUGCGGAGGUUGAAGCGUAAGCGCAGGAAGAUGCGUGCGAGGUCCAAGUAAAUCAUUGGAAUCGUUCACCUGCCUCUGUUCCAAAUGGUUACGCUUAAGUGACAACUCAGAAAAUUUUGUCGUUCGUCGUGCAUUGCGUGAUAUUUAAAGGUAACCGCACGGAAUCCGGCGGCUUUAAUGCUUUUCGAAAAUGGCACUGACUGGAGGCAGUUCGUAGGAUCUUGCAUUUAUAUUUAAAGUUAACCGCACGGUAUCCGGCGGCUUAAAUACUGUGCUUGAAACUUUCGAAUAAAAUUCGCACCCGUCAGCUAUCAUGCAGCGCAUAGGCGACGAUGAAAUGAUAUGUUAUCUGGA